rnacentral:ncRNA from 1 species
GGCAAUGGUUUCCGAACACAGAGUUCGGAACAAAAGGGAAUGCCGUGAGAAUCGGCAACAGUUACCGCUGCUGUAUGUUUCACUCUCCGAAACACUUGCGGAUCGGAGAAGAUCGUUUUAAAAUUCUGCCACUGACCUACUUGUCGGGAAGGCCUUAAAACGGAAACGAGUCAGAAGACCUGCCUUGCAACAUG